UACGGAGGGUGCAAGCGUUAUCCGGAUUCACUGGGUUUAAAGGGUGCGUAGGUGGGUUUGUAAGUCAGUGGUGAAAUCUCCGGGCUUAACUCGGAAACUGCCAUUGAUACUAUAGAUCUUGAAUAUCCUGGAGGUGAACGGAAUAUGUCAUGUAGCGGUGGAAUGCUUAGAUAUGACAUAGAACACCAAUUGCGAAGGCAGUUCACUACGGGAUCAUUGACACUGAGGCACGAAAGCGUGGGGAUCAAACAGG
rnacentral:rRNA from 1 species